CGUCAAAUCAGCACGGCCCUUACGUCCGGGGCGACACACGUGUUACAAUGGUCGGUACAGAGGGCAGCUACCUGGUGACAGGAUGCGAAUCUCGAAAGCCGAUCUCAGUUCGGAUUGGAGGCUGAAACCCGCCUCCAUGAAGUUGGAUUCGCUAGUAAUCGCGCAUCAGCCAUGGCGCGGUGAAUACGUUCCCGGGCCUU
rnacentral:rRNA from 1 species